AGUGAAGCGGCAACAGCUCAAAUUUGAAAUCCGGCCCCCGCCGCGGGCGCCCGAGUUGUAAUUUGCAGAGGAUGCUUUUGGCGCGGCGCCUUCCGAGUUCCCUGGAACGGGACGCCACAGAGGGUGAGAGCCCCGUCCGGUCGGCCGCCUAGCCUCUGUAAAGCUCCUUCGACGAGUCGAGUAGUUUGGGAAUGCUGCUCAAAACGGGAGGUAUAUGUCUUCUAAAGCUAAAUACCGGCCAGAGACCGAUAGCGCACAAGUAGAGUGAUCGAAAGAUGAAAAGCACUUUGAAAAGAGGGUUAAACAGUACGUGAAAUUGUUGAAAGGGAAGCGCUCGUGACCAGACUCGGCCCCGGCGAAUCACCCGGCGUUCUCGCCGGUGCACUUUUCGCCGGGCGCCGGGCCAGCAUCGGUUCGCGGCGGGGGACAAAGGCGCCGGGAACGUGGCUCCCCCGGGAGUGUUAUAGCCCGGCGCGUCAUGCCCCGCGGCGGACCGAGGUUCGCGCACCCGCAAGGAUGCUGGCGUAAUGGUCACCAGCGACCCGUCUUGAAACACGGACCAAGGAGUCGUCCUCGUAUGCGAGUGUUCGGGUGUCAAACCCCUACGCGGAAUGAAAGUGAACGCAGGUGAGAGCCUCACGGCGCAUCAUCGACCGAUCCCGAUGUUCUCGGACGGAUUUGAGUAAGAGCAUACGGGGCCGGACCCGAAAGAAGGUGAACUAUGCCUGUGUAGGGUGAAGCCAGAGGAAACUCUGGUGGAGGCUCGCAGCGGUUCUGACGUGCA
rnacentral:rRNA from 1 species